UACGGAGGGGGCUAGCGUUGUUCGGAAUUACUGGGCGUAAAGCGCACGCAGGCGGAUUGAUAAGUCAGGGGUGAAAUCCCGGAGCUCAACUUCGGAAUUGCCUUUGAUACUGUCUGUCUUGAGUCCGGGAGAGGUGAGUGGAAUUCCUAGUGUAGAGGUGAAAUUCGUAGAUAUUAGGAAGAACACCAGUGGCGAAGGCGGCUCACUGGCCCGGUACUGACGCUCAUGUGCGAAAGCGUGGGGAGCAAACAGGG
rnacentral:rRNA from 1 species